UACGGGGGGGAGCAAGCGUUGUUCGGAUUUACUGGGCGUAAAGGGCGUGUAGGCGGCCACCGCAAGUCGGGUUGUGAAAUCUCCGGGCUUAACCCGGAAAGGUCAACCGAUACUGCGGGGGCUAGAGUGCAGAAGGGGCAACUGGAAUUCUCGGUGUAGCGGUGAAAUGCGUAGAUAUCGAGAGGAACACCUGCGGCGAAGGCGGGUUGCUGGGCUGACACUGACGCUGAAACGCGAAAGCUAGGGGAGCGAACGGGG
rnacentral:rRNA from 1 species